GCUAGUGGCCGGGCACAGGGGGUGGGUGCUCAGUGCCUAGCAGUGGAACCCAUGGUCUCUGGCAGGGGCAGGACAGCAGCUGGUACGGGACUCCACCAGGCACGGCAAGGCUUGGGGCAAGCGCUCAGGUGGUCCUCAGCAGCAAUGACUCCCGACCUUCCCCAGUGGGACCAAGGACGGCACCUCCGCCUGCACAUAGCCCAGGACCCAACGGCCCAGGAUGAGGCCACAGUUCACCACUUGGGUCCCACAGCCCCACGUCUGGACCACCGGCCUCACAGAUGCGCUGUUUUCUUUGAUGAUUACUCUUUUCUGAAACCCCUCAUAACGUUGUUUUCUUGCACCUUUUCUUUCAUGAUUUCUUGUUUCUGAAACCCCUUCAUAGCAUUUUCUUGCAUGUUUGCUUUGAUGAUUUCUCUUUUCUGAAACCCCUCACAGUGUUGUUUCCUUGCAUCUUUUCUUUAACGGUUUCUCGUUUCUGAAACCCCUUCAUAGCGUUUUCUUGCAUGUUUGCUUUGAUGAUAUCUUUUUUAAAGCCCCUUCAUAGCGUUUUCUUGCACGUUUGCUUUGAUGAUUUCUUUUCUGAAGCCCCUUCAUAGCGUUUUCUUGCAUGUUUGCUUUGAUGAUUUCUUUUCUGAAGCCCCUUCAUAGCGUUUUCUUGCAUAUUUGCUUUGAUAAUUUCUUUCUAAAGCCCCUUCACAGCGUUUUCCUGCAUGUUGAUGAUUCUUUUCUGAAGCCCCUUCAUAGCAUUUUCUUGCAUGUUUGCUUUGAUGAUUUCUUUUCUGAAGCCCCUUCAUAGCAUUUUCUUGCACGUUUGCUUUGAUUUCUUUUCUGAAGCCCCGUCAUAGAGUUUUCUUGCACGUUUGCUUUGAUUUCUUUUCUGAAGCCCCUUCAUAGUGUUUUCUUGCACGUUUGUUCUGAUGAUUUCUGAAGCCCCUUCAUAGUGUUUUCUUGCAUGUUUGCUUUGAUGAUUCUUUUCUGAAGCCCCUUCAUAGCGUUUUCUUGCAUGUUUGCUUUGAUGAUUUCUUUUCUGAAGCCCCUUCAUAGCGUUUCCUUGCAUGUUUGCUUUGAUGAUUUCUUUUCUGGAGCCCCUUCAUAGCGUUUUCUUGCAUGUUUGCUUUGAUGAUUCUUUUCUGAAGCCCCUUCAUAGCGUUUUCUUGAAUGUUUGCUUUGAUGAUUCUUUUCUGAAGCCCCUUCAUAGCGUUUUCUUGCAUGUUUGCUUUGAUGAUUCUUUUCUGGAGCCCCUUCAUAGUGUUUUCUUGCAUGUUUGCUUUGAUGAUUUCUUUUCUGAAGCCCCUUCAGGGCAGGCGAAUGUUGGGUCUCCCACAAAGUCUUACUUUGUUUUGCAACUUGAAAAACCAUUUUUUUUUUUUUGAGACAGGGUCUCGCUCUCUUGUCCAGACUGGAUGGAAUACAGUGGUGAGAUCAUGGCUCACUGUUGCCUCAAAUUCCUGGGCUCAAGUGAUGCUCCCACCCUGGUCUCCCAAAGGCCUUGUUUUGUAGUUUUGCUCUAAAUUUCAGGAGGUGGCUCCUGGUCUAUAUCCUGCCUCAUGUCCCGUCAACACAGCCUCGGGGUCUGAACCCAGUUGGAUCUCUCUUACUGAGGGUUUCUCCAAUGUCCGGGUCUCCGGUUGUGAGAGUCACAUGAAAGAUGUGAGGCCAGCUGGCAGCAGGCUCGUACGUCAACUGAAACUAGAAACCAUCUAAGUGAACUGGUUUUCUGUCUCACACGAAAUGCUCAUGCUGACUUUUGUUUGUUUUGAGACAGGGUGUUGUCCUGUUGCCCAGGCUGGAGUGCAGUGGUGCAAUCUUGGCUCACUGCAGCCUCCACCUCCUGGGCUCAAGUGAUCCUCCCACUGCAGCCUCCAGAGUAGCUGGGACCCCAGGCACCCACCAACACUCCCAGCUAAUUUGAAAAAAAAUUUGUAGAGAAGGGUUCUCACUUUGCUGCCCAGGCUGGUCUCAAACUCCUGGGCUCAACAGAUCCGCUCGCCUCAGCCUCCCAGAGUGCUAGGAUUACGGGUUGAGAGCCCUGCGUCCAGCCUAAGGCAGCACAGGCAGGCGCACAGCACCAGCCACACUGAGGACUCUGUUCUGCCCCUCCUGGGCAGCCUUCCCUCGGCAGCAGGCUUCCUGUCCUGUUCCUGUGUGGCCUUCCCUGGGCAGCAGCUUCCUGUCCUGUUCCUGGGUGGCCUUCCCUUGGCAGCAGCUUCCUGUCCUGUAUUGUCUGGGACCUUGCUCCAAUCCAGAGCAUGAGGUUAUUUUCCUAAGUUUGUCACGUCUCCAAUUUUGGUGCACAGGAAUUUUGGUGCACAGGUAGGAAACUGGGGUCCCACGUGGGAAUUCCAUGGCGCCCCCUACAGGAAGUCCAGGUCUGACCAGCGCAGCCGGGGUUUACAUUUCCACAACCUGGCAGCUCCCCCUCGGCCACAGCAGCACCUUCCCCAGGGCUUCCUAGUGCCAUGGUCACCUGUGGUCAAAAGCGAUUCCUCAGCUCAACGCCCUCCGGAGCAUCUCAGCAGAAAGAACCCCUCCCCCGCAACCCAGUCCUCAUGGGCUCCACACGCCCGCCUUCUUCCACACAGCAGCUCCAGGCCCUCUUUUGGACAGACAUGCUCAGGGCACCCCAACACCUUGAGUGUAGCCCGUCUCACCCUGCUGAGGCCUACUCCAACUGGCCUUAGAAUCAUCAGCACUCCCAUAUCCACCCUGCUCUACGCACUUCUGUGGAACGCGUGGCCUGUGCCCACCACAGGACCCCCUUCUUUCACUUCACGUCUCUCUCCCCCAACACAGCGCACAUUCCCUGGGGCCAGGGGCACCCACAGCUCAUGCUUCAGCAGCCACCGCCAGGUUGCUUGGUCACACCCCAUGGGUCCCAAGGACAGUGUGCUGGGCGUUUAGGAGAGGAUGGCUAGGUCAUCUAUGAACACACGGGGGGCCGCCCCAGGCAGCCAGGACAUGUGGGCAGCACGGAGCGAGGGCCUGUGCAUUGGGGGAAGCCGGGCACACGGGGCCAGGGAGGCGGGUGGGUGGGAAAGGCAUGUGGGACAGGGCACCGGAGCGGACAUGUGCUGGCCCACUGUCCGUCACAUGAGCCUGGGCAGGUGCAGGUGAGAAUGCCCUUCCCUGACACCCAGGUGGAGGAAAAAUGGCACCAGAUGGGGGCCACAGCAGCCCAGUGGGCAGCACGGCAGAGGCAUCACAGACGACCCCGUCCAGCGAUGAGAAUGUUGGGUGCACACUGGAGUGGCUGCGAGUCAUGACCUGGAGACUUCGGAAACUCAACAAGACUGCAGGGCACCCAGGGGCACCAGCCCCGGUCACCGCAGAGGAUCAGUGCACUUUGCCAUCUGGCAGAUCAACUCA
rnacentral:lncRNA from 1 species